AUCUCCUAUAUGAUCAGCUUCAUGAAAGCUAUACAAAAGACCAAAGGGAGAACCCACCUUAUUCCUGACUUGCAGGGGCACUCGAACAGUCAAGAUAGAGAGAAGCUACUUGCAAAGAUGAGGAAAAACAUCGACUUCUUUAAUAAUAUGGUUGCCACUACGCAUGUGUUCAUGAUGAGGAGCAUCAUUUAAGAGCACAAUAACGGAAAGACAAGUUGAAGUGCAGCUGAGAAUGGGUCGGAAAAUUUCUGAGAUCAAAAACAUCAGUUUGAGGUGUCUCGGUCCAGCUGUCCUUGGGGAAUGUGACUCACAAGGGGUCCUGUUAAGUCUGCCAUUUUGAAGUGUGCUUUUGAAUGAUGUAUCUGAAACAGUAGCCAGAGUUUGCCACUCUGUUAUUUUUCUUCAACAUCUUUAUAUGUAGGGACAACUGAAGAUUGCUUCUACAACAGGCUGACAGAAAAUGUAGAAGUCAAAGUUGGUGAAGCAUUGUCUUCCCUUCACACAGAUUUGUUUUUAGCUUGAAUAUGCUCUGAGCAAAAUCAGACUAUGAGAUGAAAUCAUUGGGAAGAGCGGUGGACCAUGUCUGACAAGAGAAGACGUUUGGUCACAGCAGACGUGGCAUCACCAAUCAGUGGGAAAUGCAUGUUUUCUGCUCAUCAAAAGAAUGGUCAAGCGCAGCUUUGUUUUUAUUACAAGAAGAACAUUACAUGUAGGGCAGCAUGGUGGUGCAGUGGGUAGCGUUGCUGCCUCAC